AUCUAGCCCUGAUUGUAACGGCAUUCCCGAUUUUUCAUCGGGAAUAUAGCGAAAAGCAGGAAUAGGG
rnacentral:sRNA from 1 species